ACAAACCCGACAGUUAUGAACACAAGGCAACAGUUUGAUAAUCCUGAAUAUGCCCUUCAGUUUUUGCUCAAGUGGCGUGCCAUCAUGGCUUAAAUGACUUUGUCCACGGUUUUAUAAUGUAAAUAUAUGGACAGUUUGAGGAGGUUGAUUGGGCAAAUAGAGUGUAUACACCAUCGCGUUUGAGCCUUCUGUAGGAAGGACACUUCAACAGGCACUGCGGAGAAGUUGAAAUGGUUGGUGACACAUCAGUGGAGGCUGUUGAGGGGAGGACGGCUCAUAUUACUGCUGGAAAGGAAUCAAACAUAAGACAACCACGUGUCUGGUACCAUUCUAGCCAUUAUUCUGAGCCGUCCUCCCCUCAGCAGCCAGGUGUCUGGUACCAUUCUAGCCAUUAUUCUGAGCCGUCCUCCCCUCAGCAGCCAGGUGUCUGGUACCAUUCUAGCCAUUAUUCUGAGCCGUCUCCCCUCAGCAGCCAGGUGUCUGGUACCAUUCUAGCCAUUAUUCUGAGCCGUCCUCCCCUCAGCAGCCAGGUGUCUGGUACCAUUCAGCCAUUAUUCUGAGCCGUCCUCCCCUCACCAGCCAGGUGUCUGGUACCAUCUAGCCAUUAUUCUGAGCCGUCCUCCCCUCAGCAGCCAGUGUCUGGUACCAUCUAGCCAUUAUUCGAGCCGUCCUCCCCUCAGCAGCCUCCACGUCCUGUAUACAUAGAAUACAGAGGGAGCGUUUCCACCCUCCCUAAAUGUUUCCACUACUAGCAUCACUCAAUUUAAUAAAUGCAACUCUGUCCCAAUGGCACCUAAUCCCUAUGUAGUGCCCACUUAGACUAGGGCCAAUAGUGUAGUGCACUAUAUAGGGAAUAGGGUGCCAUUUGACACACAGGGAGGUCUUCCCUUUGGCCAAGUGGACUCCAAUGAUGUGUUUAUAUACAACUUAUCUUGGUGUGUCUAUAUUUACCUUUAUCUAUAGUGCGAAUAUGUCAUGAUCUAUAUGCGAAUAUGUACAUCUAUGCUUGUCCUAUGGUGGACUCAAGGUCACCAUGGUGUCAACAUUACAUACAGUAAGUCUAAGGCACCGUCAACAAAGUAUACCAGGGUUCUUGUUAAGGAGAAGUGCAUAACAUUUCCAGAGAAGCCAGUCUUCAAUGGAUUCUACGUCUGCUGUUUUCAGUCUUAUCCUUUAAAAGCGGCAAUCAGCCGUUGAAACCAUAACAAACCGUCUCCCCACCCGUUACGGUAAAAAGCUGAGGGACGGGGCUCAAACUCAGAGUUAUGGAUACGAGGACUGGAUACGAGGCCAGUGCAGUGCACGCUUUGGGAGAAGGGUGGACAAUUGGGACUCUAAUUUAUCUCCUGGUUACAAGCCCAGUUUCAACCUAUCCAGUUGCUAUAGUUUUUGUGGACAGUAGACAUAAAAAUAUGACAAACUCAAUCAGUACAUAAAUGACUAGAUAGGAACAUGCAUAUUACACAGAUCAGUUGAGCAAACAAGCCUUGUGUUUUCAAUGGGCGGUUUAAUUUAACGUGUAGUUUAAUGAGCGGUUUAAUGUGUUUUUUCSCUUCGGCUUUUUAUGGCUUUACCUUGACUGUUAUCAGAUAAACCCUGUCUAAGAGUUAUGAGAAAGGACUCAUAACUGCUGGGUUUUUGUCCCACUUCAGGAGCCGUAGGCAGACUUUGACUGAAUCCUAAAUGACACCCUAUCCCCUAUAUAUAGUGCACUACUUUUAACCAGAGCCUUAUGGGUCCUGGUCAAAAGUAGUGCACUAUAAAGGGAAUUGGGUGCCAUUUGGGACACAGUCAGAGUCUGCUUACGGCUCCUGAAGUGGGACAAAAACCCAGCAGUUUACAUAGGACAUUAAUAGUAAGGCUUUCUUGGGCAUUUGGCUUAUCCUGUAGAAUUCAGUAGUCUCACGAUACACUGGUCAAUUAAAUAAACAUACUUUUUUGACAUUGAAUAAAAACAUUGUGCUUGCAUGUCAUCAAGAUAAUUGUGCUAAAUUGAAAACAAAAAGAUAAAAUGUUUUUUUAAAAAGACACUACAGCCAUUCAAAGAAUUGGCGUUUCAACUAUGAAUAUCUAGUAUGUACAGACACCAGAGGAGGCUGGUGGGAGGAAGAUAUCGGAGGAUCGGCUCACUAAUGGCUGGAAUGAAAUAAAUGGAACCGAGUCAAACAUGUGGUUUCCAUAUUUGAUACCAUUCCAUCCCAGCCAUUACAAUGAGCAGGUCCUCCUAUAUCUUCCUCCCACCAGCCUCCUCUGACAGACACACAUUCUCCUUCCUUCUGGAACACAGAAGCAGGGGACUAGAGUUCUGAACAGAGAGGGGGGAGACAAGCACACUGAUUAGCUAAAGCAAGCACUUGCCCCUCCCACGAGAGCUCUCAUUGGCUGUUUUUUGCAUAUCCCAAAUCAUGUGAGCUCCAGUGUCACGUGACCAGGACCGGACUUUUGCCCCUCCCGCUCAGCUGCGCCCCUGUCUCAGGGUAGAAGUCUCCUUUUAACCACAUCAUCCACUGAAUUAGUAGUACGCAGACCUGUGUUCAAACACUAUUUAAAACCAUUUCAAAUACUUGUAUCGGUCUGUGCUUUCAUCCAGUUUCCCUGUUCCAAUAUAAACGUUGGCAGAGUGAACCCCCCCCCACCUUGCACUCCAGACAGACAAAAGCAAAACAAAUAUUUGAAAUAGUAUUUGAACCCAGGUCUGGUGAUAAGGAGCUUCCACUUCCUUUCUCCAGAAUUCUACCCCAGUAAUAGAAUGGUGAAAUUGCCCCUUGGCCUAGACGCUGAUCUGGGGUCAGUUUAACAUUCCCCCCCACUAAUGGUUAAGGUUAGGAAUGGGGGAAGUGAAGCUGAUCCUAGACCUGUACCUAGGGGAAACUUCACCGCGGAGCCCCUCAGUAGUUAGGGGGUUGGUAUUCCCCCUGGGGUUGGGUGGUGGUGGUGGUGCUAGGCGUGAAGGGGGGUUGUUGGAAGUCGUCUGGCGCGCUGGAAGGGUACGGGGAGUAGGUGGUGGGGGUGUAGGCCGAGGGGGCGUAGGUCGGGGGGUAAGGGGUGUGCUGCUCUGGCGGAGACUCGGCAUAGAUGCUCUGGGUGACGUCGGUAACACCACGGCGAUAUCUCCCCAAAGCGAAGUAGGUUAGGAUUCCCUGUUGUAGACACAAAGAGGAGUCAAUUAAUGAAUUCAAUCAGUCAGUCAAUGAAUCAAUUAGUGAAUGAAUAAUUCAGUCAGUUAAUGAAUCAAUUAAUAAAUUCAAUCAGUCAGUUAAUGAAUCAAUUAGUGAAU
ensembl:lncRNA